rnacentral:rRNA from 1 species
GGCUCAGGAUGAACGCUAGCGGCAGGCUUAACACAUGCAAGUCGAGGGGCAGCGCGAGUAGCAAUACUUGGCGGCGACCGGCGCAAGGGUGCGUAACGCGUGAGCAACAUGCCCGUAUCAGGGGGAUAAUCCAGGGAAACUUGGUCUAAUACCCAUAGUAAUUUUUGUAAGGCAUCUUAUAAGAUUUUAAAGCUUUGGUGGAUACGGAUUGGCUCGCGUGACAUUAGCUGGAUGGUAAGGUAACGGCUUACCAUGGCUAUGAUGUCUAGGGGUUCUGAGAGGAAGGUCCCCCACACUGGAACUGAGACACGGUCCAGACUCCUACGGGAGGCAGCAGUGAGGAAUAUUGGACAAUGGAUGGAAAUCUGAUCCAGCCAUGCCGCGUGAAGGAAGAAACGGUCCUAUGGAUUGUAAACUUCUUUUGUAUGGGAGCAAUAAGGCCUACGAGUAGGUUGAUGAGAGUACCAUACGAAUAAGCACCGGCUAACUCCGUGCCAGCAGCUGC